rnacentral:rRNA from 1 species
GAUGAACGCUGGCGGCGUGCCUAAUACAUGCAAGUCGAACGAGGUGCCUUUGUAGCAAUACGAAGGUAUCCUAGUGGCGAACGGGUGAGUAACGCGUUGGUGACCUACCCCAAAGUGUGGGAUAACAGAUCGAAAGAUCUGCUAAUACCGCAUGUGGUCUUCGGAUUUAGAAACUGAUGACUAAAGGAGCAAUUCGCUUUGGGAGGGACCUGCGUCCCAUCAGCUAGUUGGUGAGGUAAUGGCUCACCAAGGCUACGACGGGUAGGGGACUUGAGAGGGUGGCCCCCCCACAAUGGAACUGAAACACGGUCCAUACACCUACGGGUGCAGCAGUAGGGAAUAUUGCACAAUGGGCGAAAGCCUGAUGCAGCAACGCCGCGUGUGCGAUGAAGGCCUUCGGGUCGUAAAG